GUCCGCAGCCUUUGCCUGUUUAAGGCCUGCGCGCACGCGCAUGGAGGGGCUGGGCGCGGGGCCGCCUGCUUGCCCCGUAGCGAACGCGCCGGAGUGCUCGAGGCGCCGUUCAAGAAAUCCAGUGCGAAAUUGCUGCAAAAGCAGGGAUGAUUAUACAGAGAGUAGUGCUGAAUUCACGCCCUGGUAAGAAUGGAGUGCCAGUGGCUGAAAACUUCCGACUGGAACAAAGUACAAUAGCAGAUACAAUCCAAGCUGGACAAGUGCGUGUUAGAACCCUUUAUCUCUCUGUGGAUCCUUACAUGCGCUGCCGAAUGAAUGAGGAUACUGGCUCAGAUUACCUCCUGCCCUGGCAGCUGUCUGAAGUUGCUGAUGGUGGGGGCAUUGGGGUUGUGGAGGAGAGCAAGCAUGAUAACCUUGCUAAAGGAGACUUUGUAACUUCCUUCAAUUGGCCCUGGCAGACAGUGGCAAUUCUAGAUGGAAGCUUGCUACAAAAGCUUGUUCCACAACUUGUAAAUGGACGCCUUUCCUACUUUCUUGGUGCAGCUGGCAUCACAGGACUGACAGCCCUGUUAGGUAUAAAGGAGAAAGGACACGUGGCUGUGGGUGCGAAUCAGACAAUGGUGGUGAGCGGAGCAGCUGGUGCCUGCGGCUCUUUGGCUGGCCAGAUUGGCCGUCUGGAAGGCUGCUCUAGAGUGGUGGGGAUCGCUGGCACAGAUGAGAAGUGUUCCAUUUUGGUCCAAGAAAUGGGGUUUGAUGCUGCUAUCAAUUACAAGAAGGGGGAUGUGGCAGAGCAGCUACGUGAACUCUGCCCAGGCGGUGUGGAUGUUUACUUUGACAAUGUUGGUGGAGACAUCAGUGAUACAGUUAUAAGUCAGAUGAAUCAGAACAGCCAUAUCAUCCUGUGUGGACAGAUUUCUCAGUAUAACAAAGAUGUGCCUUAUCCUCCUCCGCUGCCUCCUGACAUAGAAAAAAUACAGAAAGAAAGGAAUAUCACAAGGGAAAGAUUCUUAGUGUUGAACUAUAUGGACAAACAAGAGGCUAGUAUACUACAACUCUGUCAGUGGAUCCAAGAGGGUAAACUGAAGGUCAGAGAGACUGUGGUAGAAGGCUUAGCAAACAUUGGUGCUGCUUUCCAGUCCAUGAUGAAUGGAGGCAAUAUUGGAAAACAGAUUGUCUCAGUUUCUAAGUAAAAGUCAUUGCUUUCGGAAAAAUAAUUGGAUUCUGUCUCUUAACACCUGCUUGGAAGAAAGUAUAUCAUAGGGUAGUAUCCAAAGCGAGCUAAUUAAAUACCUGUAUAUUUCAAAAGAGACUUCAACUGUGAACUGUGAGAAUACUCUAAGUUGCUUCAGGGACCUGUGCGUGAACAAACCAUACUACUAGACAUAUCCCUAAAAUCCCAUGUUGGAAAAAGAAAGUGAAAACAAGACACUCGACACCUUCCUUGCAACCAAACACAAGAAAAGUGCAAUAUAAAGAAAGAUUUUGGUAAACGAUAUUUCUAUCCUUUCUACUGCUUACUUAUAUAGUCAAAGAUGACAUACUUGAGUUGAUUUUACAAGCACCUUUACCUUACAAUUAUCAUCCCUACUAUCUUUUGAGUUGCUAGAUGACCUUUUAUAGGCAUGACAGACCAUAGAAACUGUGCACCAUAUGCUUCAGGCAUUUAACUAGAUGAACUAUGAUGCUGGGCCUUGAAAAUAUUACUCAGCCAUUGCUGUUGAAGUUAAGCAAAAGUAACACUUUAAACAGCAGGUAAAAUUUCUCUCCUUUACUUGUUUGACUUCCAAUAUUAAAUCAACCACUUAAUGUCCAGAGAGACUCCCAAUACCAAUAAAAUCUCAAAGUCUAACAGAGGAGGCAAGAAAACUAAAACAAGAAAAGAACACAAAUCCACUCUUUCACCAUUUUGCAGAUCAUCUUUUAGGGUAACCCAGAGAACCACCAACAUAUUCUUUUCCCUCCUACCUGAAAAGAAAUGCUGAAGGGCAUGAAUAAAGGAAACAGAAAUAAAGGUAUAUUAAAAAA